AAAACAAUAAUAUUUUGCUUUUUUUUCUGUAAAUUUUAAACAUAAUUUAAUUUUACCUCGGUAUUAUGGAGCGGUCAAUAGACGUUUCCGUUAAAAUUUUAAAUGACGUCCAGAUAUCAAUGUUUCGCAUAAACAUUACGCCGAAUUUCGAAAUGUUCAUGGUACAAAUAAAAAAUAAAAUGGAACGUUAACAUCCGGAAGCAUCAGAAUUGACUUUGAGGGUAGGUGAAAUCGUAAAAUCGUGUGCCAGUGCAUCAAAUGGCAAUGUUUACCGUCUACUGGAUUGCGACGAUUAUGUGCAGUUUUGGAAUGAGGGUUGUGAUUCGGUUUUUGUCAGAGAGAUCAAGGAAGCAACGAGUCACCUACCACCGCCAGUUCAUCGUGAUCAGAUCUCGCCGAACGGGUUCCUUUGGCGCGCAAUAGGUUUCUUCGUUCCACAAUUCCAUCACAAAAUAGAUUAGAAUAAUAUGUGCGACAAAAAUUUUGCUGAAUCCAAUAGACACCCACAUCAACUCGCACAAUGUCAUUCCGAGUCAUCAAUUUGGAUUCAGAGAGUUUCACUCAGCAGUUCAACAAGCUUUUCGAAUCGCUCACUACGUUAAAAAUGCAUUCGGAAAGAAAAUGUCUACAGGAAAUGUAUUAUUCGAUGGGGAAAAAGCGUUCGAUACUGUUUGGGAUGAUGGUUUACUACACAAAUUGAUCAAGUUGAAAUUUCCAAUCUAUCUAAUUAAAAAUUGUAUUAAUGAUUAGAAAUUAAGAAGAAUA